AUGCUCAUUUCAGCAGCCCAUAGACUAAAAUUGGAAUGAUACAGAUUAGAAUAGCAUGGCCCCUGUAUAAGGAUGACACAAAAAUUUGUGAAGCAGUCCAUAUUUUU
ensembl:snRNA U6 U6 spliceosomal RNA